UGCGCCGCCGCUGCCAACCCGGAAGGAGCCCGGAGGGGCCCGGGCGGCCAGGGCGCCCCCGCCAGGAGGCCCGCCAGGUGUCCACCUGAGCCCCACGCCCUGCGCCGCGGGGCCCUUUUGGGGGCGGGGUGCCAGCUCCGAGGUGUCCUCCCACGGGCUGUAGACUGGGAAACUGAGGCCCGGGCCACGGUCCCAGACGCAGCCGGGACCCGAACCCACCUCACCUGAGCGAAUGAUAUCCGGGACUCAUCCUUUUUCGACACCUUUGCGGGAUCCAGCCCUCCAAGGAAAGCUUCCUGAGCAGUGCGCGCCACGUGUAUUGGGCACCUCACCGCGGCCACUUCACAUCCUAUCUCAGGUGGAGAAACUAAGCCACAGAAAGGAGCUGUCAUUUACCUAAAGCACCGUGGCAGGGGUUUGGCAGAGCCAGGAUUUGUACCCAGAUCGCCUGACUUCGGAGAGUAACAGCUCUUAACCACAGCACUUCGGUCUAUGCCUUGAUUUCACCAUAUGUAACAAGGCAUCACCAUCUGUUUUCCGCAGCAGCUGUGCCACUUUGCAUUCCCACCAGCAGCACGCAAGCGUUCGAAUUUCUCCGCACGCUCCCCAACAGGACAAGAGCUUGCCGUGUUGCCCCAGGCUGGUCUCAAACUCCUAGCCUCAAGCAAACUUCCUGUCUCGGCCUUUCAAAACCCUGAGAUUACAAGCAUAAGAAAAGAAAAUCUUGUAAGAUGAAAGCUGAAGGAUGAGAGCAAUUAAUUGAUGAAGUAUGAUGAUCCAGGUGUCCCUGGGUGAAGAAACAACCUCUACAAAGGCCCUGAGGGUCUCGCUCAUCACCAGGCUGGAGUACAGUGACAUGAUCA
rnacentral:lncRNA from 1 species